rnacentral:rRNA from 1 species
GAUGAACGCUGGCGGCGUGCUUAACACAUGCAAGUCGAACGGAAAGGCCCAAGCUUGCUUGGGUACUCGAGUGGCGAACGGGUGAGUAACACGUGGGUGAUCUGCCCUGCACUUCGGGAUAAGCCUGGGAAACUGGGUCUAAUACCGGAUAGGACGAUGGUUUGGAUGCCAUUGUGGAAAGCUUUUUCGGUGUGGGAUGAGCUCGCGGCCUAUCAGCUUGUUGGUGGGGUAAUGGCCUACCAAGGCGUCGACGGGUAGCCGGCCUGAGAGGGUGUACGGCCACAUUGGGACUGAGAUACGGCCCAGACUCCUACGGGAGGCAGCAGUGGGGAAUAUUGCACAAUGGGCGCAGGCCUGAUGCAGCGACGCCGCGUGGGGGAUGACGGCCUUCGGGUUGUAAACUCCUUUCGCUAGGGACGAAGCGUUUUUGUGACGGUACCUGGAGAAGAAGCACCGGCUAACUACGUG